CUAUAAUUUAUCAUAAACUAAAGGAACACAGGUCAGAUUCGGACAACGACUUCAAAUUCAUUCGCAGAAUACGCUAAACAAUUGGACGACGGAUACACUGGAUGAUAAUGCAGAUGGUCCAGGAUUAUCUGGGAAGGAAACUACAGGUGUUGAACACAGAAAACCGUUUACAAGAAAACAACUGGAGUUUGUGAAAGCUGCAAGAAAUUUAUCUUGCCGGGUACGCAUUCACUUCACCUUGGUCGAGUGCAGCACAGUGGAUAAAUGUGUUGCUGAAGGAAAACACCAUUGCUGGGAUUCAAACCCACGACACUCUGUUGAAAGGUGAGAGUCAGAACCACUAGACCACGACGCACCCACAGUUAACAAGCUGAUGUCAUACCCCACUUGUUCUUUUGUAUUUUAUAACAAGAAGUCAUGUUUAUUCACAUUUUGACCUCCAAGAACUAAAAAGUGGAGUGAAGAUUUAUUUAAUGUAAACACAUGCAUUGCUUGAAAUCAUUUUAUGCUACGUGGGACAUAUCAUACACACGUGUACGAAAAUAUGAAAUUAUUAUGAUUUCAUUUUAUAACAUAAGCCUAACACAUAUUCCUGACGAUCAUGUGCACAUUCCAGUAAUUUUUCCCAAAAUGUUGCUAAACCUUCAAAUCAAAGACUUUGUUAUCAGAUUUUAACGAAAUUGUCAACAUUAUGCUUUUCUGAUUAAUUCUCUUCCUACCUAAAUCUCCCCUUUCCUCAUGCUUUCUUUCUAUGGACCCUUCAUUCUCCUCAUAACUAUGCUAUAUGUAAAAUGUAACCGGUCGUCCAACCCAUUUGAUUGAAGGGCUAGGUACUCUAGACUGAAAGUUAUGUGAUUUAAAUUCAAAGAGUACAUCAGACAAAAAAAAACACUGAACAUUUCAUCAAAAUUGAAUGAGGAUUAACGAAAUUAUGACGAAUUAAAGUUGUUAUUUUUUGGUAAAACUGUUCUCUGCAAGUCCUCAUGAAUAUACAAAAUCCCAAUUUAUAUAUUUUGUUGUAUUAUAUGAAUUCAAAUUUUGUCCAAGCUAGGUUGUAAAAAAUUACGAUUGACUACUGAUAUACUGUGUAAGACAAAAAUUAUAUUAUUUCUCACACAUAGUUGAGUUAUUCAUCUGAUUCAACACAACAAAAAUAGACAAAAAAGAAAUAAGUGGGAAUCUUGUAUAUUUGAACUAUGGGAAAUAGUUAAAAAAUAGAUUUGCUACUAAGAAUUAUUUUCUAUAU